CACAGUGGACUUCCUGAGGAGAAUGAAGCAGGAGGAGCUGGCUGACCGUCUGCAGAGCAAACUUCCAGCUGCAGUUUGUCAUCGUAACCUUAAAUCCACCCUGAAGAAGAAGUUCCAGUGUGUGUUUGAGGGGAUCGCUAAAGCAGGAAACCCAACCCUUCUGAAUCAGAUCUACACAGAGCUCUACAUCACAGAGGGAGGGACUGCAGAGGUCAAUGAUGAA